AUACAACUGGAUCCCUUCAUGACGGAUGAAUGCAGUUGUAUUAUUGUAACGGAAGCGUGUUUGCAGAUCCAUGACAGAUACGCAAAAAACGCUAGUGUGAAAGUUGCCUAAUAAAGCUUUUGAAAACCGCUCCAUAACUGCGCGUUCCAUUGUAUCUUGUGUUGUUAAGGCUUUCUAUAUGUUUAAUACUGUGUUCUAUGGUCAGGUUAAUUUAGAAAUCAUAUCCACAAUAAUGUAUGUAAGUGCAAUCCAAAAGAAGUAAAAAAACAAACAAAAAAAAAAACAGGACAGUUUUGUUUUCAGCACUUUACAGGCAUUGCUUUAGGGCAGAGAUGCCCGACCUUUGGCUCUCCUGCUCUUGCAGAACUACAACUCCUAACAUAGCUGGACAGCCUACAGCUAUCAGGGCAUGUUGGGAGUUGUAGUUUUGCAAAGGCUGGAGGGACGCAGGUUGGGCCUCCCUGCUUUAGGGAGUUGUCACAAGACUUUAUCUGUGUGUCAAUCCUGUUUUCUCCCAAAAUAAACCUAAAAUAAUACAGCGCGUAUAGCUGCGGCUGGAGCUUCACUAUGAAUAAUGCAGUGGAGUACCAAUACCGAAACCUUGCAUGGUGGCUAUAGUCUGGUGCUUGCCAUUGGGUACACCUCUGUAAUAUUGUGGGUAGGUGGGACACCACUGCACCAGCAUUGUUUAAUGUACUCCUAGCCUAAAACAGAGCUUGACUAUUACAUUAGAAUAAAAUUGACAGAACCAUAUAUUUCCCAUGACUGUUUGCCAUUUUCGGCAGCUUUUACUGUUACUUCAAAAAGUUCAAGCAAGCAAUAGUCAUCACAGACAGUACAGAUUUGUCAUAUGUGCAUAUAAUGGGCUACUGGACACUUAAAGGGGUUUUCCACUCUUUAGUUAUUGAUGACCCAUGGUCAUCAAUGUAAGAUAUUGUGGAGAUCUGACACCCUCCUUUACUCCAUCCCUCCGCUGUUUUUGGAAGGUGCCAGGAACAUAACAGUGGAUGGAGAUGGAAGCAUUGGGAUCGGUUCACUGUGUAAUGGCCAUAAUAGUGAGCUGCAGUGCGCCAUAUGCUUCCAGCUUUGCUAACUGUUUUGCUGGUGGCUGAUGAAAACAGAUGAUCGGUGGUGGUGACGGGUGUCAGAUCCCCACUGAUCAUCAGUAUAUAAAGAGUGGAAGUUUAGGCCAGCCAUACUCGUGAGAUUAUGAUCAGCUCAUUGUAGUGGAUCUGUUGUCUGUGGGAUUAUACAUAUGAAAGAACCUGGUGUGACCAGGGAAUUUUAAUUUUUUUUU